CACGUAGGGGCCAAGCGUUGUCCGGAUUUAUUGGGCGUAAAGAGCUCGUAGGCGGUUCGACAAGUCGGGUGUGAAAACUCCGGGCUCAACCCGGAGACGCCACCCGAUACUGUCGUGACUGGAGUCCGGUAAGGGAGUGGGGAAUUCCUGGUGUAGCGGUGAAAUGCGCAGAUAUCAGGAGGAACACCGGUGGCGAAGGCGCCACUCUGGGCCGGUACUGACGCUGAGGAGCGAAAGCGUGGGUAGCAAACAGG
rnacentral:rRNA from 1 species